rnacentral:rRNA from 1 species
UACGUAGGGGGCAAGCGUUGUCCGGAAUCAUUGGGCGUAAAGCGCGUGUAGGCGGCCAGAAAAGUCCGCUGUGAAAACUCGAGGCUCAACUUCGAGCUGUCGGUGGAAACUUUCUGGCUAGAGUCCGGAAGAGGAGAAUGGAAUUCCUGGUGUAGCGGUGAAAUGCGCAGAUAUCAGGAGGAACACCAAUAGCGAAGGCAGCUCGCUGGGACGGUACUGACGCUAAGGCGCGAAAGCGUGGGGAGCGAACAGG